UCUAGAUACUUAUAACACAGCACGACAAUGGGAGAAAAAUAUGUAUACAUUUAUGUGUAACUGGGUUCCCAUGCUGUACAAUGGGAAAAAAAAGUGUCUUUCCUUUCUUUAAUUUUUUACUUUGAAGGUCAAUUUUUAGAAAGUUCAAAUAUGGUGUGUGUGUAAUUACUGUGGUAAUGUACGGGGAAGUGGACUGAAAAAAAUCAUAGACACAAAAAGAUGAUGAGAGCAGCAGGAUGGAUGUGUUUGUGUUCACAUACUCAUGUGUAUACAAAGCCUUUGCCUGCUGCCAAAGCCUCUGGGUACACUUGCAUAAUUAGAAACAGCUAUAUAGUCAACAUGCUAGAAAAACAGCAAUAACUAGAUAGUGCCCUAAACUUAAAAUCUUCUGAACAUUCUCUAGGAGAUGCAUGUUCCUAAUGAACUCCAUCAGUCACUAGGAUGAUCAGAUUAUUGAGAAAUAUCCAGUGUCCUGGAGGUCAGUGGAAUAUCUACCUUUUGAUUUGGGUAAAUACAGUUUUCAUAGGAUGAGAACUUUGGCUGGGAAUAUAUAUAUAUUAUAUACAUCCUUCUAAUGAUCUCUAAAUUCAGCAGAGCUCUCAGGGAAAUAGGUGGCAUCUUUACUUCAUAGAAUUAUACAGUGCUUUCUAACUGUACCCUGAAGUACUGAGGAAGUGUGGCUCCUGUUGUGUUUGUAAGGCAUCCAUGGAUGGAGGAAUUUCAAAGACUCAGUUGCUUCCAUAGACAGCUGGAGCCAGCUAUCCAUCUGUCCUUCCUUUUCAUGCCCUUCUGUCUCUCAGCAACUUCUCAUGGAGGGCUUAGGAUCCCUAAAAGCUUCCCUCUCCUAGUUCCACUGUAUGUCUCUCUUAAAGGUUAUUUCCAAAUUAAACUGUACAUGCCUUAAUAAAAUUCUGAGGUGUGUUCAGUCUUAAAAGUCUUAGAUCUUCGUUUGUUUCAUGGCUCUACUCAAGCACAGGUGCUGAUAGAAUUAAUGAAAAUAAAUUGCUGAUGGAAAAAGGCAAAAAGGAUAAAAUAUCUUCCCAUCAGCUCUCACUUACAUCCACCUAAGAGAAAAGUGCACUGCGGGGUAAGUGGGGCUCAUGCAUUACUUGACUUGUCUGAAGCAAUCAUGACCCAUUUACUCCUUGUGUGGAAACAGGGCUGAUCUUGUGUCCACAUUUAUUGUAGACACAAACCACAAGGUACAUAUGUAUACUCUUGAAACAAAAAUACAUCAUGUCACUUCCACUUUCUCUGGUAGCUGUGAAACAGAAUCUGGAACCUGGGUGAGUCAGAGAAUAAGAAUCUUUAGAUGCAAAUAAUUAGUCUGUUUAAAUUCCAUCUUCAUGAAUUCACAUCUAAAGGAUCAAAAUGUUUCAAUCUUAGUGGAUGCAAAUCGCUUGUUUUUAAUUAAAAACACUGAUUGCCCCAGAAAUAUGAUUCUGUGUCUGUCCAGAAGGACUUUUCCCAAAUGGAGCCCUGUAGCUUAGAAACAUUUGUUGCCUUUUGGCUUUCAGUUUUCUUUAGUUCUGUUUGCACCUCUUUGUAGAACAUCAUACCUGCUAAGAGACCCUGAUAUUGUACAUCUAUGAUGAAAUUAGUAAGGCUAGAUAAAAUUGUAGAUUGAGAAAAGAUUAAAACCAAGUUCAAAUAGUAGAUAUAAAUAUAAAAAGGACACUUCUCUUUUACAAUCAUUCCGUAGGGAGUAAUUGUGAUUCCCAUUUACUCCAGUUGCCAUUGUUUUGUUUUUUGUGCCACCUCGCAAAGUGUAGAAUAAUCAUGGACAGAAAUGGCAGUGCUCAAAUUAAUAACCUUAAGCCCAUUCACUGUCAAGUUCCUGUUCAACUUAGCACUUGCCCCCUUCCUUGUUUCUCCUUUACAUUGUUUUGCUACUUGCCUCUCUCAUCUAUCAAAUUCUAGAAAUCUAGACCAUAUUUUUGUACAUCUUUAUGUAUCUUCCAGCUUAGCCUUUUACAUAGCAUUUUGUAAUUAGUAAUAGAUCAAUGAAUGUUUGUUGAAAACAGAAGGAGAUGACAGUAUUUCCCAAAGUGAGAUAGAUAAUAUGAUUAUAGACUGUAACCAAAAGAAUCUCUUUAUAAUAAUAAUUAUGGAAUUGUUUUAUGCUUAUAAUUAAACAUCACAUUACAUAUCUCAGAUCUAUAAUUUUACUAAUGCCUUUAUGACAAGUUAAAGAUGAGAAUAUCCAAAGAACAAAUAUUAACAAUAUUAAAUAAGUACUAAAACAGGCUUUAUGUAAAUAUGACAAAAAUUGUGACACUGGUGUGUUUGGGUAGCAAUGAUAUGAAGAGACUAAGGGGUCUGUAACUAUACAGUAUUUGCUAUUAUCAGUGGGUUUUAGUGGAAAAUAAUAAAAAUGCUGAAGUCAAUUUCAGAGCAGAGUCCAGGAAUCUGAAAUAAUGUUGGGAAUUUGAGCCUGUAACUACUCUAAACCUCUAAACCAUGACUUUCUCAUUUAGAAAAGCAGCUGAUUGGGCUAACCUGGAUGGUCUCUUUUGUGCCUCUAAAUCCAUAAGAGCCAAAUGAGUGUAUUUAAUGGUAUCCAUGUGUACUUUAAAAAGCCAUUUCUGGGUGCACUGUUGUUUUGGCUUUUCUCUAAGUAACUUCUCUUUACUCACACUCAAUUUACACAACGUGGCUCUGCUCCAAUUUGCUGCCAACCACAAUAUGAUCUGUCUCUCUAUAACAUAGGCCAGAAUGGGAGGAUAAGCUUCAUUUUGGCUCUGGCAAGUCAGAUUUUGAUAGGUUGUGGCUCCCCUGGUAGUAAUUCAGGCAGGUCUCAAUGUCCUUCCAGAGUAUGUGAAUGUAGGUGCUUUAUAUAUUUUUUUCACCUGCGGAAGUUAUAGUUUUAGAUAAUAUGUUUCUCUUGGUAAAGAACACAUUUUAUAUGACCACUUUAUGCUCCCAUAUGUUAUUCAUGAUGAUAUCUUUCUAUUAAGGACUUCCUGAGCACUUACGGUCCUGCUUCAUCAAUAAACACAGAUUUAUAUUGCUUCUAUGUGCUCUAAAGUAGUAAAUUUUCUCUAAACAAGGCUUAUGGUAGAUAUAAUUGAAUUAUAGAUUCAAAAUACAUAUUUAUAAAGGUACCAUGUCACGAAAGUCCAUGCAAAGUGCAGUUGAUGAUAACUAGCAGAAUAUUUCCCAUUAGGUACAGCCUUACCAACCUAUAUUUCUGCCUGAUCCUAAUGUUGAUAUUCUGUUUUCCUUUUUAUAACUUUCAGGAAAUGAGACUUCUUAAAUUAAACUUCAUAUAUUUUUUUUCAUAAUUUUUCAUCUUCCCCAACUUUUACUUCCUCAACAUGCCACACUAUGGGAUUUUUUAGUAUGGAUGAUUAUAAAAAUAUUCCCUAUUGCUAAAUUUCAAGUCUGUUUGAGUUCCUGCCGUGGCGUAGCAGAAGUGAAUCCAACUUGGGACCAUGAGGUUGCAGGUUUGAUCCCUGGCCUCACUCAGUGGGUUAAGGAUCUGGAAUUGCUGUGGCUGUGCUAUAGGCCAGCAGCUAUAGUUCUGAUUCAACCCCUAGCCUGGGAACCUCCAUAUGCUGUGGGA
rnacentral:lncRNA from 1 species